UAGGGAAUCUUCGGCAAUGGGGGGAACCCUGACCGAGCAACGCCGCGUGAGUGAAGAAGGUUUUCGGAUCGUAAAGCUCUGUUGUUAAGGAAGAACGAUGUGAGAAUGGAAAGUUCAUACUGUGACGGUACUUAACCAAAGAGGGACGGCUAACUACGUGCCAGCAGCCGCGGUAAUACGUAGGUCCCGAGCGUUGUCCGGAUUUAUUGGGCGUAAAGCGAGCGCAGGCGGUUAGAUAAGUCUGAAGUUAAAGGCAGUGGCUCAACCAUUGUAGGCUUUGGAAACUGUUUAACUUGAGUGCAGAAGGGGAGAGUGGAAUUCCAUGUGUAGCGGUGAGAUGCGUAGAUAUAUGGAGGAACACCGGUGGCGAAAGCGGCUCUCUGGUCUGUAACUGACGCUGAGGCUCGAAAGCGUGGGGAGCGAACAGGAUUAGAUACCCUGGUAGUCCACGCCGUAAACGAUGAGUGCUAGGUGUUAGGUCCUUUCCGGGACUUAGUGCCGCAGCUAACGCAUUAAGCACUCCGCCUGGGGAGUACGACCGCAAGGUUG
rnacentral:rRNA from 1 species